UGGGCUAUAGCCAAGCGGUAAGGCAACGGACUUUGACUCCGUCAAGCGCUGGUUCGAAUCCAGCUAGCCCAGCCA
rnacentral:tRNA from 1 species